rnacentral:tRNA from 1 species
GGGAAUUUAGCUCAGUUGGUUCAGAGCAUCCCGAUUUAUAUCGGGAGCAGUCGGGGUGUCGAAUCCCUCAAUUCCCA